rnacentral:lncRNA from 1 species
GUAUCUAGGUUUAUUUUAGUUUUAGAUUCAUUAGUUCAGGAUCAUCUUAGUUGCAUUUAAAUUUUCAUAUUAGCUUUUGUUACUGUUUCUAUCUUAGGUAGUUUAGAUUUCUAUAUAGUUUUACUUUCCUUUUAUUUCAUAUUAUUUCUUAUUCAAAAAUAGAUUUUAGUUUUAUUUUUUUUUCCUUUUUAGUUAGAUUUCAUUUUCCCCACCUGUUUAGUAAAUAGAUA